CCUACGGGAGGCAGCAGUAGGGAAUCUUCCACGAAUGGACGAAAGUCUGAUGGAGCAAUGCCGCGUGAGCGAAGAAGGUUUUCGGAUCGUAAAGCUUCUGUUGUAAGGGAAGAACAAGUACGGGAGUAAACUGCCCGUACCAUGACGGUACCUAUAGAAG
rnacentral:rRNA from 1 species